GACGAACGCUGGCGGCGUGCCUAAUACAUGCAAGUAGAACGCUGAAGAGAGGAGCUUGCUCUUCUUGGAUGAGUUGCGCACGGGUGAGUAACGCGUAGGUAACCUGCCUUGUAGCGGGGGAUAACUAUUGGAAACGAUAGCUAAUACCGCAUAACAAUGGAUGACCCAUGUCAUUUAUUUGAAAGGGGCAAAUGCUCCACUACAAGAUGGACCUGCGUUGUAUUAGCUAGUAGGUGAGGUAACGGCUCACCUAGGCGACGAUACAUAGCCGACCUGAGAGGGUGAUCGGCCACACUGGGACUGAGACACGGCCCAGACUCCUACGGGAGGCAGCAGUAGGGAAUCUUCGGCAAUGGGGGCAACCCUGACCGAGCAACGCCGCGUGAGUGAAGAAGGUUUUCGGAUCGUAAAGCUCUGUUGUAAGUCAAGAACGAGUGUGAGAGUGGAAAGUUCACACUGUGACGGUAGCUUACCAGAAAGGGACGGCUAACUACGUG
rnacentral:rRNA from 1 species